UACGUAGGCAGCAAGCGUUGUUCGGAGUUACUGGGCGUAAAGGGUGCGUAGGCGGUCCUAUAAGUAUGGUGUGAAAUCUCCCGGCUUAACUGGGAGGGUGCGCUAUAGACUGUGGGACUAGAGUGUGGGAGAGGAAAGUGGAAUUCCUGGUGUAGCGGUGAAAUGCGUAGAUAUCAGGAGGAACACCGGUGGUGUAAACGCUUUCUGGACCAUAAACUGACGCUGAGGCACGAAAGCGUGGGUAGCAAACAGG
rnacentral:rRNA from 1 species